rnacentral:rRNA from 1 species
UAACCGGGCGUUAAGUUGCAGGGUAUAGACCCGAAACCCGGUGAUCUAGCCAUGGGCAGGUUGAAGGUUGGGUAACACUAACUGGAGGACCGAACCGACUAAUGUUGAAAAAUUAGCGGAUGACCUGUGGCUGGGGGUGAAAGGCCAAUCAAACCGGGAGAUAGCUGGUUCUCCCCGAAAGCUAUUUAGGUAGCGCCUCGUGAAUUCAUCUCCGGGGGUAGAGCACUGUUUCGGCUAGGGGGCCAUCCCGGCUUACCAACCCGAUGCAAACUGCGAAUACCGGAGAAUGUUAUCACGGGAGACACACGGCGGGUGCUAACGUCCGUCGUGAAGAGGGAAACAACCCAGACCGCCAGCUAAGGUCCCAAAGUCAUGGUUAAGUGGGAAACGAUGUGGGAAGGCCCAGACAGCCAGGAUGUUGGCUUAGAAGCAGCCAUCAUUUAAAGAAAGCGUAAUAGCUCACUGGUCGAGUCGGCCUGCGCGGAAGAUGUAACGGGGCUAAACCAUGCACCGAAGCUGCGGCAGCGACGCUGAUGCGUUGUUGGGUAGGGGAGCGUUCUGUAAGCCUGCGAAGGUGUGUCGUGAGGCAUGCUGGAGGUAUCAGAAGUGCGAAUGCUGACAUAAGUAACGAUAAAGCGGGUGAAAAGCCCGCUCGCCGGAAGACCAAGGGUUCCUGUCCAACGUUAAUCGGGGCAGGGUGAGUCGACCCCUAAGGCGAGGCCGAAAGGCGUAGUCGAUGGGAAACGGGUUAAUAUUCCCGUACUUGGUGUUACUGCGAAGGGGGGACGGAGAAGGCUAUGUUGGCCGGGCGACGGUUGUCCCGGUUUAAGCGUGUAGGUGUGUGUUCCAGGUAAAUCCGGUUCACUUUAACACUGAGGCGUGAUGACGAGGCACUACGGUGCUGAAGCAACAAAUGCCCUGCUUCCAGGAAAAGCCUCUAAGCAUCAGGUAACAUCAAAUCGUACCCCAAACCGACACAGGUGGUCAGGUAGAGAAUACCAAGGCGCUUGAGAGAACUCGGGUGAAGGAACUAGGCAAAAUGGUGCCGUAACUUCGGGAGAAGGCACGCUGACACGUAGGUGAAGUGAUUUACUCAUGGAGCUGAAGUCAGUCGAAGAUACCAGCUGGCUGCAACUGUUUAUUAAAAACACAGCACUGUGCAAACACGAAAGUGGACGUAUACGGUGUGACGCCUGCCCGGUGCCGGAAGGUUAAUUGAUGGGGUCAGCGCAAGCGAAGCUCCUGAUCGAAGCCCCGGUAAACGGCGGCCGUAACUAUAACGGUCCUAAGGUAGCGAAAUUCCUUGUCGGGUAAGUUCCGACCUGCACGAAUGGCGUAAUGAUGGCCAGGCUGUCUCCACCCGAGACUCAGUGAAAUUGAACUCGCUGUGAAGAUGCAGUGUACCCGCGGCAAGACGGAAAGACCCCGUGAACCUUUACUAUAGCUUGACACUGAACAUUGAGCCUUGAUGUGUAGGAUAGGUGGGAGGCUUUGAAGUGUGGACGCCAGUCUGCAUGGAGCCGACCUUGAAAUACCACCCUUUAAUGUUUGAUGUUCUAACGUGGACCCGUGAUCCGGGUUGCGGACAGUGUCUGGUGGGUAGUUUGACUGGGGCGGUCUCCUCCUAAAGAGUAACGGAGGAGCACGAAGGUUGGCUAAUCCUGGUCGGACAUCAGGAGGUUAGUGCAAUGGCAUAAGCCAGCUUGACUGCGAGCGUGACGGCGCGAGCAGGUGCGAAAGCAGGUCAUAGUGAUCCGGUGGUUCUGAAUGGAAGGGCCAUCGCUCAACGGAUAAAAGGUACUCCGGGGAUAACAGGCUGAUACCGCCCAAGAGUUCAUAUCGACGGCGGUGUUUGGCACCUCGAUGUCGGCUCAUCACAUCCUGGGGCUGAAGUAGGUCCCAAGGGUAUGGCUGUUCGCCAUUUAAAGUGGUACGCGAGCUGGGUUUAGAACGUCGUGAGACAGUUCGGUCCCUAUCUGCCGUGGGCGCUGGAGAACUGAGGGGGGCUGCUCCUAGUACGAGAGGACCGGAGUGGACGCAUCACUGGUGUUCGGGUUGUCAUGCCAAUGGCACUGCCCGGUAGCUAAAUGCGGAAGAGAUAAGUGCUGAAAGCAUCUAAGCACGAAACUUGCCCCGA